UUGUGAGCACGUGAACAAGUGUGAAAGUUAGGGGUACAUGAGCGCCAGUGGGCUGUUUUCAUAGGUACGUUUUCCCUGACAUUUUAAAGUCACAGUUCGAGCUCCUGAGCUCAUGCAGUUUCUUCUGUAGCAGAGAAGUGGUUCGCUCGUGUCGACCAUGUCCAGCAGAACCAUACUGCACCCCUCCUUCCUGCCGCUGUCCGCGCGCCACCAUGGAGGAGCCGAACUUCAUCCGAUUUUCCCUGAAGAGGUUUUCUAUAUUGACCCCAGCAUGAGAUGCAGGAAGAGGAUCCCCAAUUUACUGACCCGGAUGAGGGUUUUUGAUUUCUCCAGGCUCAACACUCCACAGCCCAUCAUGUCGUCCCGUGUGGCUCCACCGAACCACCCCGACCCGUUUAGAUUUGGACCCCAUCCGACCAGAGACCUGGGCAGCCUCACGUGGAGAGGAGGUUCUUUGGACACCCACCUGCAGCCUCCUCGGGCGGUCAUCCAGCUUUCACAAGAUGAGGACCAAGCCAUUACCAACCUGCUGACACUGCACCACCAAGGGGCCACAGGAAGCAACUGCACUGAGCAAACAGGAAGUCUUUUAAGCCCUGAGAGGAGCCGCGGCGAGGCAGCUCUGCAGAAUCCGAGGGGGGAGAGGGGCUGGACAGAAGAGGUGAGAUGGUCUGAAAGUCGUGACCACGAUCGCAGAAGAUUUAGCUGCGUCACGGAACUCGGAGAUGAGAAUAGAAGGGUGUGUGGACCAGGGUCAGAGGUCAGCAGAGCCAAGGAACUGACUGAUUUGGAAGUGGACGCUGUGCAUGUGCUCAUCAAUCUCAGCAAUCUCAAGUAA
rnacentral:lncRNA from 1 species